rnacentral:lncRNA from 1 species
CAGAUUCAACGAGAACAUCGAUUUUUUUAAUUCUGCUUGCGAACGAGCUGCCCGAGGUCUUUUUCUAUGCUGUUUCAGGUUAGAAAUCUCUCUUUAGAUUAUACUCUGCUUUUUGUUUUUAGGAAAACGUUUGUUUGAUCUUCACUGUAGGUGACCUCAACAUAGUGAGCAACAAAAGAGGUCCACCGUCGACUUCCUCACCGCCGUGCAGCUUUGUCUGUGUAUGGCUUUGAUGUCUGGUUCAAAUUGUUAGCUUUUUCAAGUUUCUUCUUUUUACUUAUUAGUUGAUGUUUUGUCCAGAAAUUUUGGUUUUAUUUAAUUAGGAUCCACUUUGAAUUUUUUUUUUAUUCAUAAUGUACUAAGAUCUGAGUGUCAGAACUAAUUUGAUUUAGUUUAGUAAUCAGAUCUGUGAUUAUGUGUUUCUUGGAAACCUCCUCUUCCUCUUCUUUAUUAGAUUUGUUACUUGGGUUGAUGUUUAAUUCUUACUCCUUUCAUUUGCAGUAUCUCACAAAUCUCAACAAUUCAUCAUUGUCAUCUCCGAAAGCAGACUUCUUGAGUUGAUUUCGAAAGCAGACUUCUUAAGUUGACUUCUUUCAUUUGCAGUAUCUCAGAAAUCUCAAAAAUUCGUCACCGUCAUCUCCAUUUUCUCCACCAUCGACAUCAGAGACGGGUAGGGAGUUUUGUCCUAACAGGCCCAAGUGCCCAACACAACAAUUAAGCUCAUUUACAAAACAG